UCCUACGGGGGGCAGCAGUGGGGGAUAUUGCACAAUGGGCGCAAGCCUGAUGCAGCGACGCCGCGUGAGCGAAGAAGUAUUUCGGUAUGUAAAGCUCUAUCAGCAGGGAAGAAAAUGACGGUACCUGACUAAGAAGCUCCGGCUAAAUACGUGCCAGCAGCCGCGGUAAUACGUAUGGAGCAAGCGUUAUCCGGAUUCACUGGGUGUAAAGGGAGCGUAGACGGCGAGACAAGUCUGGAGUGAAAGGCCGGGGCCCAACCCCGGGACUGCUCUGGAAACUGCCUGGCUGGCGUACAGGAGAGGUA
rnacentral:rRNA from 1 species